rnacentral:lncRNA from 1 species
UGACAAUCAUUGCUAAUUUUAGCACAUCCCAAGGGAAACAAAUAGAAAAGAAAUAAUGCUCUUCGAUGGUUUUUUUUUUCACUGUCAGAACAUAAAGCUGAAGAUAUGUUGACACUAAACCAUAUGCUGUUAAGUGGCCUCUCUUCUAUAUGCAAAUUUUGAUAGACUCGUUCUAUAAUAAAUAUUAGAUCCCAACAAACCCAAAUGUCACAAGCAACGCAAUCACAUGAG